rnacentral:rRNA from 1 species
UACAGAGGGGGCAAGCGUUGUUCGGAAUUACUGGGCGUAAAGGGCGCGUAGGCGGCCUGUUAAGUCGAACGUGAAAUCCCCGGGCUCAACCCGGGAACUGCGUCCGAUACUGGCAGGCUUGAAUCCGGGAGAGGGAUGCGGAAUUCCAGGUGUAGCGGUGAAAUGCGUAGAUAUCUGGAGGAACACCGGUGGCGAAGGCGGCAUCCUGGACCAACACUGACGCUGAGUGAGCGAAAGCCAGGGGAGCAAACGGG